rnacentral:rRNA from 1 species
GCUUGUCUCAAAGAUUAAGCCAUGCAUGUCUAAGUGUAAAUAAGUCUAUACUGUGAAACUGCGAAUGGCUCAUUAAAUCAGUUAUCGUUUAUUUGAUGAUCUCUUACUACUUGGAUAACCGUAGUAAUUCUAGAGCUAAUACAUGCACAAAAUCCCGACUUACGAAGGGAUGUAUUUAUUAGAUACAACCAACCCUUCGGGUCCCUGGUGAAUCAUAAUAACCGAACGAACCGCAUGCUUCGGCGGCGGUGGUUCAUUCAAGUUUCUGCCCUAUCAGCUUUCGAUGGUAGGGUAUUGGCCUACCAUGGCGUUAACGGGUAACGGAGAAUUAGGGUUCGAUUCCGGAGAGGGAGCCUGAGAGAUGGCUACCACAUCCAAGGAAGGCAGCAGG